ACGACUAAGGUGAACCGCAAAAGGCUCAUUAAAUCAGUUAUGGUUCCUUGGAUCGUACAAUCCAUUACUUGGAUAACUGUGGUAAUUCUAGAGCUAAUACAUGCAAACAGAGUCCCGACCAGAAAUGGAAGGGACGCUUUUAUUAGAUCAAAACCAAUCGACGUCCGUCUUCCUCCGGGUCGACGGCGCCGUACUCCUUGGUGACUCUGAAUAACUUUUGGCAGAUCGCACGGUCUUCGAACCGGCGACGCAUCCUUCAAAUGUCUGCCUUAUCAACUGUCGAUGGUAGGUUCUGCGCCUACCAUGGUUGUAACGGGUAACGGGGAAUCAGGGUUCGAUUCCGGAGAGGGAGCCUGAGAAACGGCUACCACAUCCAAGGAAGGCAGCAGGCGCGCAAAUUACCCACUCCCGGCACGGGGAGGUAGUGACGAAAAAUAACGAUACGGGACUCAUCCGAGGCCCCGUAAUCGGAAUGAGUAUACUCUAAAUCCUUAUACGAGUAUCAAUUGGAGGGCAAGUCUGGUGCCAGCAGCCGCGGUAAUUCCAGCUCCAAUAGCGUAUAUUAAAGUUGUUGCGGUUAAAAAGCUCGUAGUUGGAUCUGUGUCCCGCACCGUCGGUUCACCGCCUGUCGGUGUUCAACUGGUGUGUAUGCGGGACGUCCUGCCGGUGGCGGUCCGGUUCCCCGUGGGUACGUAGGGGCGUCCUUGCUUACGCUUGCGUCGUCCCCGAAGGCCUGCGCGGUGUAUCCGGCCGCCUUUUCAAUCCCGUCGCGGUGCUCUUCACUGAGUGUCGAGGCGGGCCGGCACGUUUACUUUGAACAAAUUAGAGUGCUUUAAGCAGGCCCUGUCCCGCCUGUAUGUUGUGUGCAUGGAAUAAUGGAAUAGGACCUCGGUUCUAUUUUGUUGGUUUUCGGAAUCUGAGGUAAUGAUCAAUGGGGACAGGCGGGGGCAUUCGUAUUGCGACGUUAGAGGUGAAAUUCUUGGAUCGUCGCAGACGGACCGAAGCGAAAGCAUUUGCCAAGUAUGUUCUCGUCGAUCAGA
rnacentral:rRNA from 1 species